rnacentral:sRNA from 1 species
ACAGCUACGACUGGGUCCUUCGAGGCGCU